ACCCGCACAAGCAGCGGAGCGUGUGGUUUAAUUCGAUGCUACACGAAGAACCUUACCAGGGUUUGACAUGUAAGUGGUAGUGAUCUGAAAAGUGAACGACCCUUCGGGGAGCUUACACAGGUGCUGCAUGGCUGUCGUCAGCUCGUGUCGUGAGAUGUUCGGUUAAGUCCGCUAACGAGCGCAGCCCUCGCUGUGUGUUAUACGUGUCACACGGGACUGCCGGUUUUAAGCCGGAGGAAGGCGAGGAUGAAGUCAAGUCAGCAUGGCCUUUAUAUCCUGGGCUACACACACGCUACAAUGGUCUGUACAACAGGUUGCCAAACCGCGAGGGGGAGCCAAUCCCAGAAAACCGAUCGUAGUCCGGAUUGCAGUCUGCAACUCGACUGCAUGAAGUCGGAAUCGCUAGUAAUCGCGGAUCAGCAUGUCGCGGUGAAUACGUUCCCGGGCCUU
rnacentral:rRNA from 1 species